GGGGCAGUGGUGGUCAAACUCGGCCCUCUGGAUGCUUUGGACUACAAUUCCCAUCAUCCCUGACUGCUGGUCCUGUUAGCUAGGGAUGAUGGGAGCUGUAGUCCCAAAACAGCUGGAGGGCCAAGUUUGGUCACCGCUGCCUU